CAUUAUCUCUAGCUUGCUUGCAUAUAUAUACCUGCCCCUGGAAAUUUCCACUACAUGCAUCUGAUGAAGUGGAUAUUCACCCACGAAAGCUCAUGCUCCAAAACAUUUGUUAGUCUAUAAGGUGCCACAGGAUUCUUUGCUGCUUGUACAGAUCCAGACUAACACGGCUACCCCUCUGAUACAUGUCUUUUAGAAAAACUUCUAAUCUUGAUGAAAAAAUUGCCAGUGAUGGAGAAUCUGCCACAACCCUUGGUAAAUUGUUUCAAUGGUUAAUGAGCCUCACUGUUAAAAAAAUUAUGCUUUAUUUCCAGUCUGAGUUUGUCUAGCUUCAGCUUCUAGCCAUUGGAUCAUAUUAUACCUUUCUUUAAAAGACUGGAAGAGCCCAUUAUCAAAUAUUUGUUCCCCUUGUAGGCUCUUACGGAUUGUAAUGAGGUCACCCUUUAAUCGUCUUUGAUUAAGCUAAAUAAAUAGAGCUCCUUGUGUCUACUGCUAUAAGGCAUGUUUUCUAAUCUUUUAAUCAUUCUUGUGCUUCUUCUCUGAACCCUCUCCAGUUUAUCAACAUCCUUCUUGAAUUGUGGACACCAGAACUAGACACACUAUUCCAGCAGUGUUCUCACCAGUGCCAAAUACAGAGCUGUCUCAAAGCUCUUUUAGACAUUUUGGGUGAGAUUCUGCACUGCUCCUCUAAGAGACACAGCACAGUGUUCACAACCCAGGUGGGUCUGAGAUCACCUUUGUCUACAAUGCUGAUACAUAUCCUAAUGUAAUGUUUUAUGGCUCUCAUAAGCAUGAAGCAUACAAACUCUAUGUCUAAGGUACUCUGAAAUUGCACGGACUUAAUGCCAACCACAGUAAAGUCAUGGCUAUCACUGAACCCUGCUAGAGCCUGGAGCUGAUGCAUAAGGGCUAAAG